rnacentral:SRP_RNA from 1 species
GCCGGGCGUGGUGGCGCUCGCCUGUAAUCCCAGCUACUUGAGAGGCUGAGGCAGGAGUAUUGCUUGAACCCGGGAGGCGGAGGUUGCAGUGAGCCAAGAUCAUGCCACUGCACUCCAGCCUGGGUGACAGAGCAAGACUCUGUCUCAA